rnacentral:rRNA from 1 species
CCUACGGGUGGCUGCAGUGGGGAAUAUUGCACAAUGGGGGAAACUCUGAUGCAGCGACGUCGCGUGAGUGAUGAAGUACCUCGGUAUGUAAAGCUCCUUUUGUAGGGAAGAAAAUGACGGUACGUGACUAAGAAGCUCCGGCUAACUACGUGCCAGCAGCCGCGGUAAUACGGAGGGGGCAAGCGUUAUCCGGAUUUACUGGGUGUAAAGGGAGCGUAGACGGCGGUGCAAGCCAGUUGUGAAAGCCCGGGGCUCAACCGCGGGAAUGCAGUUGAAACUGUGCGGCUAGAGUGUCGGAGAGGCAGGCGGAAUUCCUAGUGUAGCGGUGAAAUGCGUAGAUAUUAGGAAGAACACCAGUGGCGAAGGCAGCCUGCUGGACGAUGACUGACGUUGAGGCUCGAAAGCGUGGGUAGCAAACAGGAUUAGAUACCCUGGUAGUC